CGCUUCCCUGCGACCGACUUUUCAUAGGCUGGGGGAGAAAAGGUUGAGAAACUUGACAUUGUCUCGAGCAGAGUGCGUGUAGCAACAGAUCAAAGAAAAAGAGGACGAAAACGUGCUCUUUGCUGCCCGUAGAUUUCGCCGGGUUGCUUUUGUCUUGCGGGCUCCUGUCGGGUUCGGUGUUUCCGCUCUGAAGACUGCGACGCGGGCUCCGAUGCAGCUCGCUCCCUGCCGGAUGGGUCAUGGGAUUCUAAACAUGAGGCAAUAGCUGAUCAGCUUCCUUGGGUUUUGCUGAUGACACAAGAGAGCUUUGCCU
rnacentral:lncRNA from 1 species